rnacentral:pre_miRNA from 1 species
UGUCGAGAUUUUUCUCGGUAGUUAACUGCAGACGGUUUUAUUUUCCUCGACAGUUAACUGCCGAGAAACAU